AGGCUUUGGAAUGGGCUGCCCAGGGAAGCGGUUGAGUCACCAGCCCUGGCGGUCUUUAAAAGAUGUUGAGAUGUAGACUCAGUACUAUGGUUUAGUGGAGGACUUGUUAGUGCUAGGUCAGAGGACUAGGUGAUCUUGGAGGUCUUUUCCAACCUCGAUGACUCUGUGAUUCUGUGAUACUAAUCACAAGUUGCUUAACUGUCUGGGCUUUAUGACAAAUUCAGUUUUCAGCAAAAAGCUGCUUCAACGAAAACAAAACAAGCUCAGUGUGGGCUCUGCAGGCUGAGCCACUCAGUACGUGUGCUAGAUCAACCAAAACCAACUUUCAGACCGGUGAUCCCCACACUCUGCAGCUCACUUUCUGACCACUUCAACUUACCAAAAUAAUUUGCUGAGACACAGAAUGGGAGAGGACUUAUGGAUGAUGAAACUCAGGCUUUUAGAUGGAAGUCAGGUUUAGGUUUAAAAGAAGUUAGGUUUAAUGGCUCCCACACAGCAAGCAUGCACGUGCUGGUUGACACAUACACAUGCAAAAUUGGUCCACACUGAAGGUCUGAAACACCCACGAGCUCCUGUUCCCACAGCUGCUGGAGGACAUCGUGUGUGACUGCAGCAGGAGGAAGGAGGACUGACCCCAUCCUCACAUGCCAGGACGAAUUGCUGGGGGGGGCACAUUGCACUGACACAACCUUUUUCCACCAUCACACCAGGCUGUGGGCAAUUUAUCACGGCAAGAAGUUGCCUGGGAUCCCAGGAUCUGCAGAAACUGAAUGCAAGUUUCUGAGAUGCUGGUGUGCAACAACCAGCCCAGGAACUGAACUGAUUGGCAAGAAAUGAACUGACUGCAAACGAGAGAGUAACAACACCAACCUUACUUGCACAACCAUGGCUCUAGCAUCACAUUUACUGUUCAGGAAAGAUCCCAGAGCCAUGCGGGUGGUUCUCCAAAAACAUCAGCUCAGCAAUCAGGCGUGGUCAAAAACAUGACAAGAAUGCCAGCGAUUGUCAGGUGAGACAAAACAGAAAAAUUCACUUUGUCUGUGUCUAAAUUCUUGCUGUGCCAUCUUCUUAAGAACUGCAAGCAGUCCUAAAGUCUCCUUCCAGAAAAGAUAUGGAGGAACUGGAAAAUUUAGGCAAGUUUAAGGCAUUAUCAGAGUUGUGAGCAGGUUUCACAGGGGGAGCAACUAUUAGGGUAGGUAAAUACAUCUAAUUUUCGGCUGAGAGAAGAAACGAUUGAGGGUGUUCGGAUAAAGACAUCUCAAACCAUGAACAGUGUGGAGAAGGAUGCUCAGGAUCAACCAUUUAUUAUCUCUUAUAAUGGAAAAACCAUUGGGACCUGAAUGAAAUUAUCCUAAAAAAAGUAGUUGUCCAUCUCAUAGGAAAUUAAAUUGAGGAACUCAUUGCUAUAGGGCGCUGUGGGAGCAAAUAUACAGGUGGGUUUAAAAGAGACAAGUCCUUGAAAGCAAUUAGUAGUGAUGACCUGAAUAUUUAACUUCGGGAACUCUCUACAUUCAUAUUUCCCUAAAUCUGAGAUAAUACCCUCAGGAGGUGUCAUUCAAUAUAGGCUUUGUCUCUUUUACACUUUCCUUAAGCAGUCACUGACUGUCACUGCCAGAGAUAGGAUACUAGGUGACACGGAUUUAGGAAACAUUUAUGGCUUGAAAAUCAUGGAACCAGUAGGAAGAAUGAAGCUGUUACGGGCCUUGACCACAGAAAACAAAUGAGAUGAUCAACUUCUGCAAAUUCCAGGUUCAGACUGAGAAGAAAACAGGAGUUGAGUAUUAAAUGUGAGAAAGUGCUAUUUAAAAAAAAAAAUUGUAUUAUUGUUGAUAAAUGU
rnacentral:lncRNA from 1 species